AUGGAAUCCCCCGCGAUCUGGAUCUUAUUGAAGCCGACGAGCUGCCUCUGAGGUACGCCAUCGCUCCCUGCGCUAGGAGGAGUAGAGAAGAGCAUCAGUGUGUGGCUGAUCGCCAUGGCGCCCUUGUUCCGGACGGAAAUCGCGACCUGGCUCUUGAGAGACUCGCACGAUUUCUCGUCCGUGGCGUCGAGGUGGAAGCAAGAGGAUGAUUUCUUGAGGCCAGUGCACGGUUGCAUUGGCGCUGUGGAGGGGAUUGAGAGGAAUGAGGGUGCCUUGAUGAAUUUGGCCGAGAGUGAAGUGUAGCUCAGUCCAUCGCCAAACUUGAAGAUUGUUGGUCCCGUGUAGAAUCGAUACGUUCUUCCUGGAUAGCCUGUGGAAGCAUUUGGUCGCAUGUUCAUGUCUAGCAUGGAAAUGCUGGUGAAGUUUUGUGGAUACCAAGUUGCUGGUAGCUUUCCACCUGAGAGUGAUUCGUGCGAGAGUUAGUGGUGAGUUUUGGACUGGAAGUGACUUACUUGGAUUAUGAUCUCCAAAGAUAACUUCGGCUAUUGCAGCUCCUCCAGCUUGUCCGGGAUAACCAGCCCAGAGAAUUCCUGCGAUCCGGCUGUCACUCAACGCAAAAGGUAUGUCGAUUGCUCCGGCACUCAAGAUGACGAUCACAACUGGUCCUUUUGCAGCUUGCAUCACCUGGGAGACGAGCUCUUGCUGCUUUCCCGGCAGAAGCAAGCUUGUUCUAUCCAGUGACUCGGCUUCUAUGGUGAGAUCUAG
rnacentral:lncRNA from 1 species